AAUGGAGGCAACUCUGACGCAGCCAUGCCGCGUGCAGGAAGAAGGCGCUACGCGUUGUAAACUGCUUUUAUCCGGGAAGAAACCCCAGGACGUGUCCUGGGUUGACGGUACCGGAGGAAUAAGCACCGGCUAACUUCGUGCCAGCAGCCGCGGUAAUACGAAGGGUGCAAGCGUUAUCCGGAUUCAUUGGGUUUAAAGGGUGCGUAGGCGGAGCGUUAAGUCAGUGGUGAAAUCCUGCAGCUCAACUGUAGACUUGCCAUUGAUACUGGCGCUCUUGAGUGCGCUUGAAGUGGGCGGAAUGUGCCGUGUAGCGGUGAAAUGCUUAGAUAUGGCACAGAACACCAAUUGCGAAGGCAGCUCACUAAGGCGAUACUGACGCUGAGGCACGAAAGCGUGGGGAUCGAA
rnacentral:rRNA from 1 species